CUUCUCAACUACAAGUCCAGGCACAUUAUACCAAAUGUGUGUGCUGUACACUAUCUUCUCUUCUAAGUAAUGUUAUUUCGCGGACUAUAGUAAAUUUAUCAUGUGAAAAUUAUAUGAUAAUUUUGAACUUUUCAAAUUUCAUGCACGAAAUUAAUAUUGGAUGCAGUCACGGCUACGCUAGUAUGAGCUUUACAACUUAACACACUUAACAAAUCAUGACCCCAAGAAUUUCUCCGGUCAAUCCGACUAGCUGGAGCCUUCCAGCCAGUCUCAGCCGCCGGAAACACACUCCCCGGAAUUUUCCGGCGAACUUGCCGGUUUUUUAUAUCUUGGAGGUCCAUUUCUGGUGGAAAUUUCACUAGGCCAAACUUCAAAAUAGAACAUCUUGGUUUAGAUACCUUUGAUCCCGGAUCAGAUUUUGUCGAACUCUUUGAUGAACUUCUUAGGAUUUCCGAGUCCUCAGAUUUGAUUUCCAAGCUUGAAUUAUGGAGUUUUCUGUAAUCUAAAAACCUGCUGUUUCUUAUCAACUUCUUCGUCUUGUGUGAUCUUGUGUUCUCAUCAGACAACGAUUCGCACCUUCUUGUAUUAAAAUUCUUGAAGCUAUUAUCAUCUGUCGAGAGAGAAUUGUGAAAAUGAUCCUUGAGAAGAGGUUGUUCUUUGUAGGGUACGAGUUUACCACAGAAAAUUAUGUCUUCUGCAUGGGACAUGUCGGAGCUGACAUCACUGAAGAACUCGAACAAAUCUGAGGGCGACGAAGAACUUCGAUCUUGAAUCUUAGAAACAUCCUUCUUCUCGGAUUCGUCACUGUUUAGAGGAAAAUCACAAAGAGAAAUUAUCUCUUCUUCUUCUUCUUCUUCUUCUUCUUCUUCUUUUGUAUACACUUGAUCCUGAAAACUUGUAGAAUCAUCCAUUUUCAGAGAGAAG
rnacentral:lncRNA from 1 species